rnacentral:tRNA from 1 species
GCGGGCGUGGCGGAACUGGUAGACGCGCUGGUUUUAGGUGCCAGUGUCCUUGCGACGUGGGGGUUCAAAUCCCUCCGCCCGCACCA